rnacentral:rRNA from 1 species
UACAGAGGGUGCGAGCGUUAAUCGGAAUUAUUGGGCGUAAAGGGCGCGUAGGUGGAUGAAUAAGUCGGAUGUGAAAGCCCCGGGCUUAACCUGGGAAUUGCAUUUGAUACUGUUUAUCUUGAGUGGAGUAGAGGAUAGCGGAAUUUCCGGUGUAGCGGUGAAAUGCUUAGAUAUCGUCAAGAACACCGAUAGUGAAGACAGCUCACUAAGCUCAAACUGACGCUGAGGCACGAAAGUGUGGGGAUCAAACAGG